rnacentral:rRNA from 1 species
UGGGGAAUAUUGCACAAUGGGCGCAAGCCUGAUGCAGCCAUGCCGCGUGUGUGAAGAAGGCCUUCGGGUUGUAAAGCACUUUCAGCGAGGAGGAAGGGUAGUGUGUUAAUAGCACAUUGCAUUGACGUUACUCGCAGAAGAAGCACCGGCUAACUCCGUGCCAGCAGCCGCGGUAAUACGGAGGGUGCAAGCGUUAAUCGGAAUUACUGGGCGUAAAGCGCACGCAGGCGGUUUGUUAAGUCAGAUGUGAAAUCCCCGCGCUUAACGUGGGAACUGCAUUUGAAACUGGCAAGCUAGAGUCUUGUAGAGGGGGGUAGAAUUCCAGGUGUAGCGGUGAAAUGCGUAGAGAUCUGGAGGAAUACCGGUGGCGAAGGCGGCCCCCUGGACAAAGACU